CCUACGGGGUGCAGCAGUGAGGAAUAUUGGUCAAUGGACGCAAGUCUGAACCAGCCAUGCCGCGUGCAGGAAGACGGCUCUAUGAGUUGUAAACUGCUUUUGUACGAGGGUAAACGCAGAUACGCGUAUCUGUCUGAAAGUAUCGUACGAAUAAGGAUCGGCUAACUCCGUGCCAGCAGCCGCGGUAAUACGGAGGAUUCAAGCGUUAUCCGGAUUUAGUGGGUUUAAAGGGUGCGUAGGCGGUCGGAUAAGUUAGAGGUGAAAUCCCGAGGCUCAACUUCGGAAUUGCCUUUGAUACUGUUCGGCUAGAGAGUAGUUGCGGUAGGCGGAAUGUAUGGUGUAGCGGUGAAAUGCUUAGAGAUCAUACAGAACACCGAUUGCGAAGGCAGCUUACCAAGCUACUUCUGACAUUGAUGCUCGAAAGUGUGGGUAUCAAACAGGAUUAGAUACCCGGGUAGUC
rnacentral:rRNA from 1 species